AUCGUAUUUUUCAUUUAUUGUCUUUGGUUCAUUAAGGUUGCCAUUAACCUUUACAAUUUUGAGGAUAUUUCUCCUGGCUUUUCUCCAUAACCCAAGAAGGCCUUGAUAGACUUCCUGAUUUUAACUUCUCUCUCACUAGAUUUUUGGUAUUGGAGAUUGGAUUUUGUUUGUGGAAUUUGGAGUCGGUGAUUAUUAGAAUUAAGUUGAUGUAUGGGUCGAUCACCUACCUUCAAUGAGAUUCGGCAUGUUUUGUUAGUGGUUGGUUGAUUUGGUGUUCUGAUGAUCCCCAUAUCGGCCGGAGGAUUCCUGUGGUUUGUUCUGCACAAGAGGCGAGGGGAUGUGUUUGGCUUGCUGAAUUGAACUUUUUGGAGUCUAUGGAGCAGUUUUAAUGGAGUCUAGAUAAAUUUUAGUGGGGACAUAAUGCAUUCCAAAAUGAUUGGAACUA